rnacentral:rRNA from 1 species
CCUACGGGAGGCAGCAGUGAGGAAUAUUGGUCAAUGGCCGCAGGGCUGAACCAGCCAAGUCGCGUGAGGGAUGACGGUCCUAUGGAUGGUAAACCUCUUUUGUCAGGGAGCAAAGGGCGCCACGUGUGGCGCUUUGCGAGUACCUGAAGAAAAAGCAUCGGCUAACUCCGUGACAGCAGCCGCGGUAAUACGGGGGAUGCGAGCGUUAUGCGGAUUUAUUGGGUGUAAAGGGUGCGCAGGCGGAAUGUCAAGUCAGCGGUAAAAUUUCGGGGCUCAAACCCGUCGUGCCGUUGAAACUGGCGGUCUUGAGUGAGCGAGAAGUAUGCGGAAUGCGUGGUGUAGAGGUGAAAUGCAUAGAUAUCACGCAGAACUCCGAUUGCGAAGGCAGCAUACCGGCGCUCAACUGACGCUCAUGCACGAAAGCGUGGGUAUCGAACAGGAUUAGAUACCCCUGUAGUC